GACCAGCUACGAAACACCAAAAAUAACUGCUUGGUGCACUGAUAAUUGCGUUAUUCUCUGCUUUUCCACCACUCGCAUUAGCUCUGGGGGAAGGAAACAUCCUGCUUCCCUAAGUCGAACACUUUAUUGCCAACCUGAAACGAUUUCAGGAUUGGCUUCCAGAGGUGGAAGCAGCACAGCCGCGUGCACAGCGUUGCAAGUGUGCAGACAGCGGGCUCUCAGCAUCCUGCAAUUCUCCUCAAGGUGAGACCUUCCCAGCCCCCGGCCCCAGCCCACGUGUGGACCCCUGGUUACCCCCAUGCUCCGGUGUUGCCCAGUGCAGGCCUGGAGCAGCCAGGGAGCCACAGGGACCUGAAACAACACGCGUCUGUGUGUGACUCAGCCGGGGCUUCCCCGCAGCCUCUGGGCGCAGGAAGUUUACCUGGGAGGGGAGGCUGGAGAGGAGCCGGGGGGGAGAGGCAGGGGGCUGCAGACCCCGGGAGACCUGCCCAGCCGCUGGACAGUAUGGGCAGCUCUGGGGCCAGGACGAGGAGUCUGAGUGCAGGCAGGAGCUCCUUCUGCAGCCCAGCAAAUCCUCCACUGGUCUGGGUAAUCAGAGGGGGCGCCUGCCCGCGGGGCUCACAGUGGCGUCCGUCCAGACUGUGCCUGCAGCCACCUCAACAGCCUUCAGGUCAGAUGGGCCACCUCUUCUGAUUGAGGCAACAGGAGGGUGAGCUGAUAGGUCCUCACCCCACGCUUGGCAAAUGCCAAGGGCCCGUCCCUGCAAACAAAGAACCAAGGUCAGUGGGUCAGGGAGGGAGGAAGAGCCUCCCUGAAACUGCCCCAGCUCCGCCCCUGGAUAGUGGGGGGCCAGGUCCACAAAGCUCCCGCCCCCGAAAAGACAGAGGUAACCGGCUCCCGGGAAGCAAGCGGCUGCCUGCCUGCCGGGGGCACAGAGGAGCUGCUGCCGGCUUGGCCUGGCGGGUCCGCACCUGAUGGGUCAGUAAUCCGGAGGGUGAGCCCCCUUCGUCUGUUCCUCAGAGAACAGGGCCACCCUUUCUGGCUUCACGGUAGCAGGAAGGAGUUCUGGGCCAGGUCUGGAUUGACAGCAGCUGCCUGGGGGUUAGGUUGAAGGCAGAACACUGAUUUCAGGCCAGGUCCUCUCUGCCGAGGAGGCAGUAGAAUUUUCUGGAAGCUUCUGAAUGCAGGUCCCAGGCCGGCUCUGCAGGCCGAAGAGUGCUGGGCACCCGGAGCUGGGACGCAGGUGGGCUGCCGUGGGGCACAGCCAGGGCAUUCUCUGCAGCAGCCGGCUGUUAGGGGGAAGCCGAACCAAAGGGGGGGGGUUCCUGGGCCCCGGGCCUGGGCCCUGCUCCUGGGUCCUCCCCAGGUGGGCUCUGGGGCCUCCGCUGAGCCCCCAGGUCAGGGUCAGGGCGUGGCAUCCUGUGCAAAGAGCUGGGGGUCCUAACUG
rnacentral:lncRNA from 1 species